rnacentral:rRNA from 1 species
GACGAACGCUGGCGGCGUGCUUAACACAUGCCAGUCGAACGGAAAGGCCCUGCUUUUGUGGGGUGCUCGAGUGGCGAACGGGUGAGUAACACGUGAGUAACCUGCCCUUGACUUUGGGAUAACUUCAGGAAACUGGGGCUAAUACCGGAUAGGAGCUCCUGCUGCAUGGUGGGGGUUGGAAAGUUUCGGCGGUUGGGGAUGGACUCGCGGCUUAUCAGCUUGUUGGUGGGGUAGUGGCUUACCAAGGCUUUGACGGGUAGCCGGCCUGAGAGGGUGACCGGCCACAUGGGGACUGAGAUACGCCCCAGACUCCAACGGGAGGCAGCAGUGGGGAAUAUGGCACAAUGGGCGGAAGCCUGAUGCAGCAGCGCCGCGUGCGGGAUGACGGCCUUCGGGUUGUAAACCGCUUUCGCCUGUGACGAAGCGUGAGUGACGGUAAUGGGUAAAGAAGCACCGGCUAACUACGUG